rnacentral:rRNA from 1 species
GACAGAGGGUGCAAACGUUGUUCGGAAUUACUGGGCGUAAAGCGCGUGUAGGCGGCUUGGCAAGUCGGGGUGUGAAAGCCCUGGGCUCAACCUAGGAAGUGCACUCGAAACUGCUUCGCUUGAGUGUCGGAGAGGAAAGCGGAAUUCUCGGUGUAGAGGUGAAAUUCGUAGAUAUCGAGAGGAACACCGGUGGCGAAGGCGGCUUUCUGGACGAUAACUGACGCUGAGACGCGAAAGCGUGGGGAGCAAACAGG